AUCUAAGCUACAGUAAAGGUUUAAUUCUGACAUUGUUAAAAUAAUGACAAUAUUAAAGGGGGAUUCAAAUUAGUUUUUUUCCCCGUAAAUGCUUACCAUGAGUUUAUGUGCUGACAUUGGCAUUAAACUACUGCCAUUAUGACGUAAUAAUGUAACGGAGGUUUAAUCUCAGCCAAAAUGCUGUUUCCACUCAUUUAUUGAUUCACUUUUACAGAGAGAGGUACAUGUCGUCUUUAGAUAGUUUUAUUAUGUAUCACUGAUGCAUAAUCAAGGCAGGAAAAAUAGCUAAAUUGACAAACUCAAGGAGAGAGAACUCACACUCAAGAAGGAGAGAGUAACGUCAUGUCAACCUCGAGGAAGAAAAACGCUGCUUACCAAGGCCACCAGGACAAACCUACCACUCCUAGUACCAAUGUGAUCCGGAAUCCUAUCCCAGAUGGCCAGCGUUGCUUAGUCAAUGAAGACAGGAUUCGGCAGAUGGAGAGAUCCGAGAGAGAGGCAAUGGAGGCUAAGGCCAAGCAGAUAAGUGGCAUCUAUGAGAACUAUGUUCAAACAGCUCUCAUCAGGGUUGGCAGGAACGUGUCACACCACUUUGCUCAGAGCACACCACUCCACAAACCUCCACCUAGGACUUUUCCCAGAACAACUGAACAUGUUGUUCUGCCCCGACUUAAUAAUGUCAUGGGGGUGGACAAAGCCAAUGGCCAAGACAAAGAUCUCUGCUUGGAGUCCUUCCGGUUGAAGGGGUCAUUGAGCAGCAGCAUGCUUCGAAUUCCUGUCCCUCCUCGUUCUUCUUCUCCCUUCAAGAAAGAAAAGAAGAAGAAAAAGAAGAAAGGCAGGCUGGAAGUCGAAGCCCUCAAUGUCCAGUCGGACAUUAACAAUGACAUCACACCCAUCGACCUGUUUGAGAAAUCGAAGAAUAUGCAGGUUCACCUGAAUCAGGAGGCAUGGAAGGUGGUUAAGGAGUUGGAGGCCACGGGCAGAAGGUAUAUAAACCUGGUCAAUUCCACAGGGGAGAGAACCACCAGCUCCCUGGGAACCCUGAGCUCAGUGGAUAUGGAGACCCCAGAGGAGCUACGCUGCUACUUAGAAUUUGGGACCCCGGACGAGCCACGCAACCCCACACCGAUUCCUUCACCCCCUCCUACCAAGCCCACAAGCAAACUGCUUCAGACACCUAAGUUCUUUCGCACUGCAAGGGCAGCUUCCAGCUCAGGGAGAAGAAGAUUGAAGGCUUGACCAGUCUCCGUUCAAUGGCUCAGAACCACAAAGAACUGCUGAUGCCAAGACUGCAUGAUGUCUGCCUGGCAGUUAUAGAUGAGGUACCUGGGUUCAUUCACACAUAUCUGGUGCAUUUGAAUAAUAGGCAAAGUAUCCUGGCAGAUGUUUCUGAAGUUCCUGUGUUGUACUGCUCAACAUUAAUAGCUGGUCCUGUGUGUGUUGUUGUGAUUCAGGUGAAGAACCUGCGCUCUGCAGUGUCCCGUGCUGCCAUGGUAACACUGGGUGACAUGUACGUCCACCUUCAGAGGGCCAUGGACUGUGAGGUGGUGGUGACUGGACGCGUGCUGCUGCACUUGGCUAGCUAUGCCAAUGCCUUCAUUCGCCAGGGGUGCGAACACCGCCCUGCGUCACAUGGUGCAGUCCUGCAGCCCUACACGCGUCUUGAAGGCCCUGCUCGCCGGCGGGCUGAGGUGAGUGAGAAGGGAAAAUCAGUCAGUUAUUCAGGAGUGAAUUCUAACUGGCAAUAUUAUACAAUGUGUCUAUAAACCCUGUCACUGAUGAGUACUGUUUGUCCCUCCUCAGCCACCAUAAUGCUGCGGUGAGGGGCAGUGCUGCUGAGCACCUGAAGAGUCUGGUCGAGGUCAUGGGGGCAGCUCACAUUCUUUCAGGGAAGAAAGACCUCACUAUCCACUUC
rnacentral:lncRNA from 1 species